rnacentral:rRNA from 1 species
UACAGAGGUCCCGAGCGUUGUUCGGAUUCACUGGGCGUAAAGGGUGCGUAGGUGGUGAGGAAAGUCGGAUGUGAAAUCUCCAAGCUCAACUUGGAAAUGGCAUUGGAAACUACCUUGCUGGAGGUUUGGAGGGGGGACUGGAAUACUUGGUGUAGCAGUGAAAUGCGUAGAUAUCGAGAGGAACACCAGUGGCGAAGGCGAGUCCCUGGACAGGUCCUGACGCUGAGGCACGAAAGCUAGGGGAGCAAACAGG